AUGCCUGUAAUCCCAGCUACUCGGGAGGCUGAGGCAGGAGAAUCCUUGAACCUAGGAGGCAGAGGUUGUUGUGAGCCGAGAUCGUGCCAUUGCACUCCAGCCUGGGCAACAAGGGUGAAACUCCAUCUCAAACGCAAACACACACACACAACCUUGGGAAGGUUGCUGGUGUUUGGCUUUGGCGUGUGGGGAUUUGUGUGGGGUGUGGGGAUGUGUGUGUGGUGUGUGUGUGGGGUGUGUGGGAAUUGUGUGUGUGUGGUGUGUGUGUGGGGUGUGUGUGUGUGGUGUGUGUGUGUGUGGGGGUGUGUGUGUGGUGUGUGUGUGUGGUGUGUGUGUGUGGGGUGUGUGUGUGGGGUGUGUGUGUGGGGUGUGUGUGUGUGUGUGGGGUGUGUGUGGGGUGUGUGUGUGGGGUGUGUGUGUGGUGUGUGUGUGUGUGGGGUGUGUGUGUGGUGUGUGUGUGGGGUGUGUGUGGGGGGUUGUGUGUGUGCAGGGGGGUUGUGUGUGUGUGGUGCGUGUGGGGAGGGUUGUGUGUGUGUGUGUGUGGGAUUUGUGUGUGUGUGUGUAGGGUUGUGUGUGUGUGGGGUUGUGUGUGUGUGUGGUGUGGCAGGUUGUGUGUGUGGGGUUGUGUGUGUGUGGUGCAUGUGUGUGUGUGUGAAUGCGUGUGGGGGUUGUGUGUGUGGUGUGUGUGUGGGGGGUUGUGUGUGUGUGUGGGGGUUGUGUGUGUGUGUGGUGUGUGUGGGGGUUGUGUGUGUGUGUGGGGUUGUGUGUGUGGGGUUAUUGUGUGUGGGGUUGUGUGUGUGUGUGAAUGAGUGGGGGUGUGUAUGUGUGUGUAAUGUGGUGUGUGUGGGGGUUGUGUGUGUGUGGGGGGUUUGUGUGUGUGUGUGUGUGGGGUUGUGUGGUGCAUGUGUGUGUGGGUGUGUGUGUGUGUGGGGGAUGUGUGUGUGGGGAUGUGUGUGUGUGGGUGUGUGGGGUGUGUGUGUGUGUGGUAGUGGGGGUGUGUGGUAUUAG
rnacentral:lncRNA from 1 species